AUGGCCAGGGGAAAGCAGCAGCAGAAGAAGACAUUGGAUCAGUCGAGAUAUCCUGAAAUUAAGAAGCAGAAGCAAUGUAACCCAUAUGUUGCUGCUAGAUCUAUCUCUUGCGACUGCAAUUUUUGGGACACGAGGCAAAAAGAUCUAUAUGAUCAGAUCUAUCGUGAAAAGAAAGUUUUUGAGCACAGAUUUGUGGAGUGGUCAGAUAUAGCUGAUGCUGAAACAUGUCCUUUUGACUUGUCCACUAAGUAUGAGGAUCUUGGUCUCAAAGGCUGUGAGAAGGAAACCACGCAGAGGAGAGGACCUCUGGUACUCAAGGGACCAGUUCAUACCGAUAUGGAGGUCGGUGCUGAGCGCGCAGUUUAUCACGAGGUUGAUUCCAUCCUAUGUGCCGAAGAAAGAGUUUGCAGAUCUUCAGCCUCAAACUCAAAUCCAGCUUGGCUUGUUGGAGAGAAGGUAUAUUUUCUACAGUCCAUUCUCUGCAAGCAACUGCCGAUCAACCAGAAGGGGAUUUGGGCCCGCCGCGUCAACCCUCCUGAAGACGCUGAAGCGCGUGUGAUGAUCGAGCACUGGCGAGAAGCAGGAGCUGGCGCUGGAGGGCUUGGUUCUCCUCAGACAUCUUCAGCCUUCUUGAACGUAUCUGUGACUGCACCCGUGCGAGAGUCUGCAUACAGCGCAGAGUACUUGCAGCUUGACGCUUAA
rnacentral:rRNA from 1 species